rnacentral:lncRNA from 1 species
GUGGGUAGUUCCCAUCCGAAUUGAAGAUAGUCAAUAUAUAUUGUGCAAGGUGUUUGCCAUCAAGUUUCUUUUCGCCACUUUGUGCUAGCGGUGGAUUACGUUUUUUGACUCUAAAAAGGAGUUCAGUUUACAUCCUACAUCCAAACUUCAUCAUAGUUUAAAAAGAGAGAGAAAGAGAGAGAUCCCAAUUUUAUGAUCGUGGUGCCAAUAAGAGUUAAAAGAUGUUUU